CCUACGGGAGGCAGCAGUGGGGAAUCUUGCGCAAUGGGCGAAAGCCUGACGCAGCAACGCCGCGUGCGGGAAGAAGGCUUUCGGGCUGUAAACCGCUUUCAGCAGGAACGAAAAUGACGGUACCUGCAGAAGAAGGAGCGGCCAACUAUGUGCCAGCAGCCGCGGUGAUACAUAGGCUUCAAGCGUUGUCCGGAUUUAUUGGGCGUAAAGAGUUCGUAGGCGGUCGAGUAAGUCGGGUGUGAAAAUUCUGGGCUCAACCCAGAGACGCCACCCGAUACUGCUUGACUUGAGUUCGAUAGGGGAGUGGGGAAUUCCUAGUGUAGCGGUGAAAUGCGCAGAUAUUAGGAGGAACACCGGUGGCGAAGGCGCCACUCUGGAUCGAUACUGACGCUGAGGAACGAAAGCAUGGGUAGCAAACAGGAUUAGAUACCCUGGUAGUCCAUGCCGUAAACGGUGGGCACUAGGUGUGGGUUUCUAUUAACGAAAUCCGNGCCGUCGCUAACGCAUUAAGUGCCCCGCCUGGGAGGUACGGUCGCAGACUAAACUACAAGAAGUAGACGGCGNGAGACGUGCCGACGGACGACGACGAGGGAGUAGG
rnacentral:rRNA from 1 species